rnacentral:rRNA from 1 species
GUCCAGACUCCUACGGGAGGCAGCAGUGGGGAAUAUUGCACAAUGGGGGAAACCCUGAUGCAGCGACGCCGCGUGAGCGAAGAAGUACCUCGGUAUGUAAAGCUCUAUCAGCAGGGAAGAAGAUGACGGUACCUGACCAAGAAGCUCCGGCUAAAUACGUGCCAGCAGCCGCGGUAAUACGUAGGGAGCAAGCGUUGUCCGGAAUUACUGGGCGUAAAGGGCGCGUAGGUGGGCGCUUAAGUCAGGUGUGAAAACUCCGGGCUCAACCUGGAGACUGCACUUGAAACUGGGUGUCUUGAGGGCAGGAGAGGAAAGUGGAAUUCCUAGUGUAGCGGUGAAAUGCGUAGAUAUUAGGAGGAACACCAGUGGCGAAGGCGACUUUCUGGACUGUACCUGACGCUGAGGCUCGAAAGCGUGGGGAGCAAACAGGAUUAGAUACCCCAGUA